CAUAAUUAAACCACUGUCCAUGAAUCAAUGGAGUUAUCUGAUCACCUUGGUAUAUAAGAAAAAAAAGAACAUAUUUUCAAAGAAGAAGAGUAAAGAUCAUAUAGUUAGUCAGUCUUGGAAAUUUCAUCAGAGGAUAGUCAAAAAACAUGAAGUAGUGUGUGGUGACUGGUUUCAUAGAAUUUCCAAAUCCAGUGUCCAGAGGGGAGAAGCAAAAUCACUUCUCUAGGACUAUACAUCAAUAAAUAUUGAAUAUAGCACAACAUACAAUCUUGGUAUAUAAACUAAAGACUGUGAAAGUUUAAAGAAAUCCAAUUCUGAUUCUCCAUCCUCUACUCAUAAAAAAAUAUAAUUUUGUAAAGAUCUCUCAAUAAAACAUCUACGGUUUGAUUAAACCAUUGUUGCUAUCAUUCAUUAUAUCACGAGUUCACUCUCCUAUUUGAACUCGCAUGCCCUUGUCACAUACAAUUGCAUUAGGUUUAAAUAUCUGUAUACGUCGUCCCACCAAAUCCACAUAUGUAUAUAUAAUGACCAUUUUUGAUUCUUUC
rnacentral:lncRNA from 1 species